GACAGAGGUGCCAAGCGUUAGGCGGAAUCACUGGGCUUAAAGCGUGUGUAGGCGGACCGUUAAGUACCUUGUGAAAUCCCUCGGCUCAACCGGGGGAACUGCGUCUGAUACUGGGUGGCUUGAAUUCGGGAGAGGGAUGCGGAAUUCCAGGUGUAGCGGUGAAAUGCGUAGAGAUGUGGAGGAACACCGAUGGCGAAGGCAGCCUCCUGGGCCAGCACUGACGCUCAUGCACGAAAGCGUGGGGGAGCAAACAGG
rnacentral:rRNA from 1 species